rnacentral:rRNA from 1 species
UACGGAGGAUGCGAGCGUUAUCCGGAUUUAUUGGGUUUAAAGGGUGCGUAGGCGGACGCUUAAGUCAGCGGUAAAAUUGCGGGGCUCAACCUCGUCGAGCCGUUGAAACUAGGUGCCUUGAGUGGGCGAGAAGUACGCGGAAUGCGUGGUGUAGCGGUGAAAUGCAUAGAUAUCACGCAGAACUCCGAUUGCGAAGGCAGCGUACCGGCGCCCAACUGACGCUGAAGCACGAAGGCGUGGGUAUCGAACAGG